rnacentral:lncRNA from 1 species
AAGUGGUCAACAAGCCCAUAACAAAUAGUCAUAGCAUGAUUAUAGAUUAACAGAAGUGUGAACCAUGUGCUACUGAUAACAAAUAAACAAUUGUGCUUCUAGAACCAAAUCAUAGCCCUCGGGGCACUUCAGCUGGAGUUGCAUCCCUAAUCUAAUGACAUCUGCCACUCCAGUCGGUAAUUAUGGGGUGUUUGGUUGCUGCCCUGGCCCGGAGCACAUUACUCAGGCAGGUUGAUUCGGCAGCAGGCGACCGAAAUCACACGCCUAAGAACAACAUCUGGGCCGAGCAUGGUUUUGAUGGUGGCAAGCAAACACACCCUUAGUAUUUGUUCCAGAACAUUUGAUAUCCUCCUCCGUUGCAACAUCUAACGAUUUUUCACAUUCGAGAUGUACUUACUGAGAUUAAUUUCAAACCCACGCAGGCUUAAAGAUAGCAUUUCCUAUCACUCUCAUGUUUCUUGAAUUUCUGAAUAUGCAUGCAAUCUAAGUAAUAAUUAAAUAGCGAUCAACCAUUGGAUGAGAAAGAGGAACUGCAUGAUUAGACUAGAUCUAAUUCAUAAAAUAGCUAAGUGUGAUGUGGUUGAUGAAGAACAGAGUGUGAUUCAAGAACUGCUCGG